UAAUAUCUCACAAAUAUCUGAAUUUGAAAACCCUGAAUAAAUGAAGACAGUUUUAGAUAUUGGAAAGGAUACUUGCAUAACUAAUCAUGUACCUAUGUAGGGUAAACACUGAAUAAAGGAGGCAACUAACUAGGUAAAAACUAAUUAGUGGGGUUCAAAGUGUGAAUAUGAGCAGAUAAACAAAAGUAAAAGGACAAAAGCCAACUAUUGUGAACAUAAACUAAUAUUUUAAUUUUGAACACUUAUCAUUUGAUUACUUUUCAGAGGACAAAUUUUCAGACAGAGCCUGUGAAGAUGGGAAGGUCAGAUAGAUAAUGAUGAGGUUGCUCAGAUGAAGAUGUUAAGAGCCUUGUUUUAAACAAGAGCUGUGUGUGGCUACAGAUGAGAGACUCUGGAAGAAUAACUGACCUAGAAAGAGACCUGUAGGCACAACUGACGAUGAAGAGCAGGCUAACUUCAGUCAUCUAAGAAGUUUCCAUCGGUGUAUUGUGCUCUAUGACCCCCUCUACAAGCUAGACUUAAAUUAAAUUUCUUCAGAAGUAAA